ensembl:lncRNA
ACCAUUUCCACUGACGUGGAGUACAGACCGCACACCUUGGUGACGCCAGUCAAUCAGCUACAUCACCUUUCACAUGCUCGUGCAUCAUCGACAAAGACGAAUGGUGAGACUGAAAGUCGGCUUCAUUUUCAAGUCUUGUGUUGGUAAGAAUGGAUUUGGCAAUAUAUUUGUAUGGUCAAACUGUGUGAAAUAUGAUAUUGUGAAACAUUGCACCGUUAAACGUGAGCAGGAGUCUAUUUUAUGGAAUUGAUUGGGAUCAAUGCCAAUUGUCAAUCGAGCAUGGCAAAAUGAGAUUGACUUUACAGCACCCAUUUGAGUCAAGACUCAAACUGACAGAUGUAGAGUGUGAUAUAGCAGCUAGAUAAUGCAUUAUCUCGAUAUUAUUAAAAAAACAUAGCUGAUAUCUGCUUCUGUCCCUUGCAGCCCCGUAUUUGCAGUGACUGGUGUUGUUGAGCCACCUUGUGGUGUUUGCACACAGUGUUCCCCCCCCCCCCCCUGCCUCCCUCUCUCUGUUUCUCCAUCUACUCUGUCGCAUUUUUUUCUUUCUCGGUUGUUAGGGUGUUUGACACCUGAGGUCUGCCACUAUGCAGCCUGGAGGAGCACACAAUGGUAGGCAAUGGGUUAUCAGCUCUUUAUUCAUCCUCAUUCAUCCAUUCGGUAUCCUCUUUCUUCCUUUCAUUGUCAUUCAUUCAUUCUCUCAUCCUCAUGUAGCUGUGUGUGGCCAGAGCCUGCUGUCCAACUCCCUUAGGGUGUAUCUGAACAACAAGAACAGACUGCAGCCCAUAAUCGGUCUGGGCUGUGUGACAGAGUGUGUGACACUCGGCAGGGACUCUGAGGCGGUGUACCUGUGUGAGGUGUGUGUGUGUCGUCUCAGUAAGGCUGAUGUCAGGAGCCACAUCAUGGGGAGUCUCCACCGAUACAACUACAUUAAAGCCCAUCACCCUCACUUUGUGUCAGAGUGGAAGCAGAGUCCUCCUGACCUGUCCAAGCUGGCCCGGCCUCUUAUGGAGAUGGCUCAAAUACUAGAGAAGAGAGAAGGAACCGGGGACGUACAGGUGCUGAAGUUGGAUGCUGCCAUGUAUGACGAUAUGACAACACACAGCGAGAGUGAUGCUCUCAUCCUCUUGCAUGCCAUCAGGACUGAAAGGGAGCAGAGAGAUCUUCAGAGCCAAUCAGUGAAGCAAUCAGUCCAGUCAGAGUAUCUUACCAUCCAGUCACAGAGAACCGUGAUAUCGCCUCGGAGGCUCUCCGUCCAACCAGAGAGGCCUGUUGUCCAGCUUGACAACCGAACCGUCCUAUGGAGGAGUCCGACCACCCAGAGUCGGAACUCAUCUAGCCAAUCGGAGAAGUCCCCUGUGUUGCAGCAGAGUGUCUCUAUCCAAUCACGGCUUAGUUUGUUGGAGGAGGAGUUUCUCCAUGGAAGCAAGCCACUGGUUGGUGCUUCACUGAAGCGUCCUGCCUCAUCAUGGCAGCAUGACCCCUUUCUUUCCCCGACCCCAAAUGUCACAGCUGGAAGUCAGACGUCUCUUGGCGGGCCUGAGGGGAAGGGGGCGGGACUGCAGGGGGUUCCUGCAAAGCUGAUUCGCUGUGAGCCGGUGUUCAAGGUCAGUCUAUCUAUGACGGACGGCCCCUGGCUGUUGGAGAGGAACUCCUUCAGCCUGGAAACCUCCCCCUCCUCCCUCAGAUACGCCUCACCCCUUCACUCCCCCACCGUAGAUGCCUCACUCCAACCCUCUCCCGAUCCCUCACGUUUGCUUGGCCAGCCGGGAAACUCAGUUGCCGCAAGACUCGAAAAUACACACACUCCGGGACUGAGACGCACUCCGGGACAUGCACACACUUCGACUAUGAGACUGAGCCCAGCCAUACCUGAUGAGCAGCUGACUAUGGGAGACGAGGACACAGAGAAAGACAGUCUGUAUCUCGGAGGGGAACAGAGGUUCACCGACUAUGCUUUGUACGAUGGCAGAGAGAAAAACACAACUGACCUGGUUUACCUCAGGAGAGAGCAGGACCGAACUGACCAGCUGUAUUCAGAAAAUAACCGACUCACUGACACAAAGUUCCAUGUCCGAGUGGGGCAGAACAACCGACAAGGCAGUAUUUACCCCGGUCUAGCCUGUGCCAGAGACAUCACUGACACAGCGUCUGUUGCCGGGCCGAUUCUCUUCACUACCGGCCGUCUCUUGAAGGAGAGCUUGACAGACACUCCUCUAAUGGAAGAAGAACAGGAGGAGGAGAGGGGGAAUGAGUGUCAUUCUGGGGCACAGAGGCUUGCAGAGGAUGACAGGACAACUGACAGUCUGUACUCUACUGGAGAGAGGAUAACAGACAGUGGGUUUUCCACAGGAAGCAGGUCAACUGACAAAAUGUACCAAACAGGAGAACGAUCAACUGAAAAUCAGUCUUUUACAACAGAAGUGACAACUGACUGUUGGUAUGCUACAGGAGAGGAGCUAACUGACCGUCAGUUGAUGGAGGAAGAGGAGCGAUGCAGAGCUGAAAUUCAGAAUGGAGUUGGGCUCAUCGUGGAGGUCAUGGUGGAGGAGGAGGGGGAGAGAGAGGAAGGAAAGGAUGGAGAGAGGGAGGAGAACUCAGACUUUUACCACCAACAGUAUUUGCAAGGCCAGCCUCCACAACGGCACCAGGCGCAGGGGUUCACAGGAACUCAUAGGGGUGCCGUAGGGCUUCAUAAGGUUGACACAGCAGAUCUCAGACAUGACAUAGCCCUUCAUAGAGAUCAUGCAGGGCCAGCCCUUCACCGAGAAGAGAUGAGCAGUCGUAUGGGUGACAUAGCAGCCAUGCAGCAGGUGCAGUUAUGUGAGGCUGAGUACAGAGAAGCAUGGGCCUAUGGAGGCACACAGCUGACCCCUGACACCUAUAGAUCAGGUCCGCAGGAGUAUGAGACUGACCCUGGCUCCUACCUGCCAUUCCCAGAGGGCCACAGAAUAAACUGUGACCCCCACCAAGUGGUUUCUGAUUGGUUUAGAACCACCCCUGGCCCGCACUUCGUUCACUCUAACCCUGACGAGUUUACACCCCAGGUCCUCCCGUACCCCCACAAUACAAUGCCCCAGGGAAUUGGACCCAAUCCCCACUCUGGUCCCUUCCCCAUGAAGAUGAGGGGCGUGCAGUCACAGGAGUACAGAAGGCUCCCCAGCCCCCCAUUUGUUAUGGUGUCUAGACCCUGCCACCCUCAGCCCUUCUUUCCAGGACAUGAAGGCUUUCUGUCCCCCCGGCACGGCCCAGCCUUACCUCCCAGCCCUCCCCACUACAGAGGAGCCUACUUGGGCCACAGCCCUGCCCGGAGUCCCUGGGCAGCUCCAGGACCAGGACCUCCCUGGGUCUAAUUACCACACACCAUACAUAAAUCCACCAGGAUAGUUAUUUGUGGCACUUUAGACACUUGUUUUAAAUGGACAGGUGUUUUGUGUGUUUUAUACACUCUAGGUUCUAUUGUUUUUAUAGCUUAAACCAACGGUAUCCCAUCCAUUGUAUAAGUGCUGAUUUUAGGUACUUCCCCUGUAUGAUGUCAUGAAAUCUCAUUGACAACUGUCAACGAUUCAACUCACCGGUUCAAUUCUGUUACAAUUCAGAUUUAUACAAGACUUGUUUGUUUUAAGUUGUUUGUCUUCUGCCGUCGAAUCAAGAUGGAGCUGAGAUGGAUAAAUAGACAACAUGUUGAACACUGGCUAAAUUUUAUAAUAUUAUGAACUCAGUUUGUGAAAUGCUGCUUCAGCGACCAAUUAGAGACAUUAUGAAGAAGGGAAAUCUAUUUUUCAACAACAAAUAUUUUGGUUAAUGCAAAAAAAAAAUCUAAAUGUAAAUAUAACCUAAGGUUUAUUUUACACAAUAAGGGGGAUCAUUUAGGGGUUCAACAUAGACCUUUCCAGAACUGUCUAGAAGGAGGCGCUGUAUUAGUUUUCAGUUCGACCAGCUGAGGGAAGCAGAGCUGAAUAAGUUGUUUAAAAUGAUGUUCAGAAACACAACACAUGUUAAAAUAAACAGUUUUAAUUUUAAAUGUUUUUCAUACUUGCCAUGUGUGCUUCCCUCAUGAAGUUGGGUUUAUUUCAGUGUGACAACAGCUUUGGCCAGUGUUAUACUUUGACUUUGGUUCACACACCUUUACAUUGGCUUAACUGAGUGGAUUUGAUUCCAUUUGUUGAAUUAUUAGUGUUAAUUUGAAGAUUAUUCCCCAAAAAUGUUUAUGUGCAGCAGCUACGACAGACUUGGAUUCGCCUCUUCCUAUAGGCAGACUACGCGCUGCCCUUUUCUUUUUCAAGGAACUGUCGGGUCUCAACUCACUUUUGAAAAGUAGAAUACACCAGGUGCAAUUUUGACAUUUUGUUGUGUAUCAGUAGUUUCCCACUUAUGACAGUCGCUCAAUGAGCCCAUGUCAGCAAAACAUUUUAAGAUUGCUAGGUAAGGUAGUUGAGCCAGGGGCCCUGACCUCCAGGGGGUCCUCCAUUGAUUUUUACACACACAAAAGUAUAUGUGGAUUUGUCUAUUUCAGCCACACCUGUUGCUGACAGGUGUUUAAAAUCGAGCACACAGCCAUUCAAUCUCCAUAGACAAACAUUCGCAGUAGAAUGGCCUUACUGAAGAGCUCAGUUACUUUCAACGGGGCACUGUCAUAGGGUUCCACAUUCUCCAACAAGUCAGUUUGUCUAGAGCUACUCGGUCAAUUGUUAUUGUGAAGUGGAAACUUCUUGGAGAAACAACAGCUCUGCUGCGAAGUGGUAGGCCACACAAGCUCGUGCUGUAGAGCGCAAAGAUUGUCUGUCCCCUGUUGCAACACUCACUACAGAGUUCCAAACUGGAGGGGGGGGGGGGGUUCUUAAAGGCUAGAGGCAGCACUGGAAAGGCUACUCAGCAAGUGGCAUUGAACUUUAUUUUUUUUGUCUGUUUUUUGUCUCCCCCACUGCCCAAUGUCAAUUUGUGGGCAUGAUACAACUUGUCAAGCAGGUCUAUAAUAUGGUUAAUGUAGCACAGCUGGAUUCAAGUCUGUUUUUUUUUACCUGUUUUUCCAUUGAGUCACUUAAUGCUGUAUUCAAGCGUCUCAUUCUGUAGUUUAUUUUUUUAUUUGUUGCUGUAUUUGAGUACAUUAUGGCCUUCAGGCUAAUAAAGUCACAGUAUCCAUUGAUCUCCUGCUCCAGUCAUCUAAUGCAGUGGCUCCCAAUUAUUUUUACCAAAGACAAGCCAAAUCUUACAUGAAGUCAUUGUCAUUCUGUAGUAACGCCUGUUUUUUGAUCUUGUGAAUUUCUGACCUUGGAAAACCCUUAGGGUUGCGAAACAAAACACUGAUCUACUAAUCUGUAGAUCUUCCAUAACAUUAUCCAGCUGUCAUGUGAAGGAAGUACUGUACACACCUCAACGUUGCAACAUAAUCUACUUUAUUGAAUCUGGUUGUUCUCAGUAAUAUUAUUUACAUAUUGAAAUAGUGCAAACAAGUAAGGAAGCCAGAUAAAUGAGACAGUCCUCUAGCAAACAAGUAAGGAAGCCAGAUAAAUGAGACAGUCCUCUAGCAAACAAGUAAGGAAGCCAGAUAAAUGAAACAGUCCUCUAGCAAACAAGUAAGGAAGCCAGAUAAAUGAGACAGUCCACUAGCAAACAAGUAAGCUAGAUAAAUGAGACUGUCCUCUAGCAAACAAGUAAGGAAGCCAGAUAAAUGAGACAGUCCUCUAGCAAACAAGUAAGGAAGCCAGAUAAAUGAGACACUCUAGCAAACAAGUAAGGAAGCCAGAUAAAUGAGACAGUCCUCUAGCAAACAAGGAAGCUAGAUAAAUGAGACAGUCCUCUAGCAAACAAGGAAGCUAGAUAAAUGAGACAGUCCUCUAGCAAACAAGGAAGCUAGAUAAAUGAGACAGUCCUCUAGCAAACAAGGAAGCUAGAUAAAUGAGACAGUCCACUAGGUGUCACCCUAUUACAAGUUCACUGAACGUGUGUGGAAGACACUGCAUUUCCAGUCACGAAAACACAGCAAACUAUCAAACCUUUGAAGUCAACAUUUACUAUUUUCAUAUGUAUUACCUUAACCUUGUUAUCUUGUUUGGUAAAGAAAUGAAAUACAAACCCUAAACGCAAUAAACUCUAAAUUAAUGCGGUUGGACAGUUUUGUCAGAGCCUCAGAGAGUAACCAAUAACAUGGCUCUCAUCAGAAGCGCUGUGAAUUAAAGGUG